rnacentral:rRNA from 1 species
GUGGGGAAUCUUAGACAAUGGGCGCAAGCCUGAUCUAGCCAUGCCGCGUGAGCGAUGAAGGCCUUAGGGUUGUAAAGCUCUUUCGUGGGGGAAGAUAAUGACUGUACCCCAAGAAGAAGCCCCGGCUAACUCCGUGCCAGCAGCCGCGGUAAUACGGAGGGGGCUAGCGUUGUUCGGAAUUACUGGGCGUAAAGCGCACGUAGGCGGACUGGAAAGUCAGGGGUGAAAUCCCGGGGCUCAACCCCGGAACUGCCUUUGAAACUCCCAGUCUUGAGUUCGAGAGAGGUGAGUGGAAUUCCGAGUGUAGAGGUGAAAUUCGUAGAUAUUCGGAGGAACACCAGUGGCGAAGGCGGCUCACUGGCUCGAUACUGACGCUGAGGUGCGAAAGCGUGGGGAGCAAACAGGAUUAGAUACCCGGGUAGUUC